GUGACCCAAUCCGUGGCCUAGGCUGGGUCAGCCAAGCCUAGUAGCCAGUGGCGACUAGUGCAGCUGACAGUGUAGCUCAGGCUCCCUCUCUGGGGGUUGGGCACACAUGUCAUCUUGACUAGCGCUCCGGGCUAGAUGUAGCCUGCUUUAACUGUGAUGGCAUUCAGUGGGGCCUAGCUGGGCGUUAAAAACGGGCAGAUCGCAGGGGGCUCUGGUCGGCCCUGUGCCACCCGUCGGAAGUCGAACCGGGUGACGCCUCGGGGUUGAAGUGCGUGAAAUGGACUUUAGUUUCCUUUUCUCUGCUUCCUGGCCUCUCAGAAGUGGUCUGCCCUAUCUUCCGCACGUUCCUGUCACUGUGAUGUGCUGCCUCACCACAGGACCUUGGCACAGAGCCAGCCCGCCAUGGAUGAAGACCUCUGAAGCCAUGAGCCUAGCAUUAACAGGUGCACAUGGAAGCUUCUAGAAACCCUUAUCUACACUGGAGAAUAAUCAGGACUGAGCAGCCUGGUGCCUUGCUGGACCCGAUUGCCAAAGUCCCUGCAGCUCUCUGAAGGUGGGGGAUUGCAGUGGGCAUCUGCUCUGUGCAGGUAAAUCAAUGAAGGACGAAGCUGUCUGCCUGGGGAGUCUGUGCCCACUGCUCUCCUCCUUGAAGCUGCAGAAAGGGAAUGUCUGACAGCUUGGUGGGGCCCUGGCCUUGGAGGAGACUUGGUCCGGAACAUUACAGGCCUGAAAGUUGGACAGACCAAGAAGGAAGUUUUAUAGCCUUGCCACAGUUUCCUGGAACACCUGGGAGCUUUGCUGUUGCUAUGGAGACAUCAAGCAACCAAGUCACAAGAAGAAUCACAAAUCAUAAGAAGAAUUUCACUGAAGUUUGAAAUUUUUGAUAAGGAGGUUUACCAGCCUAAGCAAACCUGGAAUCUUCCAGAAGAUAUAAUUUGGCUCCUCCUCUCUGGAAAUAACCUCACAAACCCCUCCAGAGGUGUGACUUACCAUCUCCUACAUGAACUGAAAUCCAGGCAGGUCAACAAACAAGAUUAAUCAUCACUGGUAUUUAACAGACAUUUUUUUAAAAAAGAUGAACAAAAUGAGCCUGUCACUCCCAGGAGAACAACUGCCAGUACCUGUCACUGAUGACAAAACGCAAGCUCUCGAGCAUUACAAUUUAGGGGACCCUUUUAUCUGCCACUAUAAGCUUGACAGACUCUCAAUAUUUAAAGACUUUUUGGAUGAUGUUAAACAUUAGCGAUGUUCUGAAAAGAUGUGAUUAAAAUAAUUCUUUAGAUUUGUUUUCACUUUAUAUUUUACGCAUAUAACUAUUAUGCCUCCAUAUGUAUCUGCGUACCACGAGUAUGCUUGAUGCCCAAGAAGGCCAGAAGGGGUAUUAGAUCUCCUGGAAUUGGAGUUACAGAUAGUUGUGAGUCACCAUUUGGGUUCUGGGAGUCAAACAUGGGUCCUUUACAAGAAAAACCACUAAGCCAUCUCUCCAGCCCAAGGAUGCCAAUUUUGAUGUUAUGAAAUAAAAAUGACUCUUGGAAACUUUCCAUAGCUCUUCAUUUUCCAAGUGACUAGUGCAUUUCUCUUACCUUAACAGAAAGAAAGUGAUGGGGAAGCUAUAAAAUCAACCUUUUCUUGACCUUAGUGGCAAGUGGAAACUUCUUGGCAACCAAAUGGCACAAAAUCUGAAGACCAGGUGUCCCUAAAGAGGAACAGGUCUGGCACUACUUUACCUAUGAUGUCAUGAGAGACUACAGGCACCAUGCAAGCAAGAAACAUAAUAGCCAGUAUAUAUAUAUGAAUACUCUAUCUGUAUGUCCUGAGUGCUAGAAGAGGGCAUUAGAUCCCAUUACAGAUGGUUGUGAGCUAUCAUGUGGUUGCUGAGAAUUGAACUCAGGACCUCUGAAAGAGCUGAGCCAUCUCUCCAGCCCCCUUAAAAAUAUAUUUGUAAAGCGAAUUGUUAGAGUCUGAGUGGGGCUAGCAUAGGAAUCCAGAACUCUGGGUCCUGCUGACUCUAGGAGAGUCUCCCUGGAUUACCAGCACCAAUUAUGAGAAAGAUUAGGGGAGACCAAACAAAUAGUCCAGAGAAGGUUCUAUACUGGUACAGACAUGAGGAGUUGGCUACCCACUGUGUUUGUCCAGGUUCUGUUGCUACUUCAAAUUACCCGAGACUGAAGAACUUAUAGAAAAUGAAGUUUUGUUUUGUUGGUUGUUUUUUGUUUGUUUUUGUUUUUUUAGAAUUCACAUUUCUGGACACUUUGUGAAUUCAAAUUCACAUUUCAACAGUAUAAUGUGGGCAUCGGUGAAGACCUCAAUGCCUCAGUACAUGGCUUUGGGAGGCAGAGGAAGUGUGUUAACAAUUUUCUCUGAGUUCAAAACUUUUCUAUGGACUGCCACUCUUGGUGGGAAGUUCCUCUAUCCUGUUGCUGUAGUAAGAAAUCUAACUUCUUCAGGAUUCCAGGGUAGAUUGAAGACCAGAAGAGCUCCAGGAAUUCUUUCAGGACUCCAGCAGCAGAUUUGGGCUGCAGAGACAUCCAGCCACUGGACCUGAAAAACUAUUGGAUUCUUAGCUAUUCUGUAGUGAGAUAGCCAGCCAUCGUUGGGCUACUCUGUCCACAGAAGGAAGAGUACCACACAAGGGUCUUGGAGAGUCUCACAUCAGCUGAGCUGCCUGGAGGAGACUCUGACCAGUCCAGCUGCCUGGAGUUUUUGUGCGCUCCUCAUGCUGCGGUGGUGUUUUUGGUGAUACAGUUCACCCACACUCUUGUUGAUAACCCCUCACCCGUACAACUGUAAAAAAGUCCAAAAGAUUCAUUGCUUCACCAAGUUAGCCUUUGAUAGAAUUCUUUAAAACAAACAA